rnacentral:rRNA from 1 species
ACGCUCGACACCUCGGGGGCAGCAGUGGGGAAUAUUGCACAAUGGGGGAAACCCUGAUGCAGCGACGCCGCGUGAGUGAAGAAGUAUUUCGGUAUGUAAAGCUCUAUCAGCAGGGAAGAAGAUGACGGUACCUGAGUAAGAAGCCCCGGCUAACUACGUGCCAGCAGCCGCGGUAAUCUGAGCGGGCUGGCAAGGC